GAGCGGUAGCACAGAGAGCUUGCUCUCGGGUGACGAGCGGCGGACGGGUGAGUAAUGUCUGGGAAACUGCCUGAUGGAGGGGGAUAACUACUGGAAACGGUAGCUAAUACCGCAUAAUGUCGCAAGACCAAAGUGGGGGACCUUCGGGCCUCAUGCCAUCAGAUGUGCCCAGAUGGGAUUAGCUAGUAGGUGGGGUAACGGCUCACCUAGGCGACGAUCCCUAGCUGGUCUGAGAGGAUGACCAGCCACACUGGAACUGAGACACGGUCCAGACUCCUACGGGAGGCAGCAGUGGGGAAUAUUGCACAAUGGGCGCAAGCCUGAUGCAGCCAUGCCGCGUGUGUGAAGAAGGCCUUCGGGUUGUAAAGCACUUUCAGCGGGGAGGAAGGCGGUGAGGUUAAUAACCUUGUCGAUUGACGUUACCCGCAGAAGAAGCACCGGCUAACUCCGUGCCAGCAGCCGCGGUAAUACGGAGGGUGCAAGCGUUAAUCGGAAUUACUGGGCGUAAAGCGCACGCAGGCGGUCUGUCAAGUCGGAUGUGAAAUCCCCGGGCUCAACCUGGGAACUGCAUUCGAAACUGGCAGGCUAGAGUCUUGUAGAGGGGGGUAGAAUUCCAGGUGUAGCGGUGAAAUGCGUAGAGAUCUGGAGGAAUACCGGUGGCGAAGGCGGCCCCCUGGACAAAGACUGACGCUCAGGUGCGAAAGCGUGGGGAGCAAACAGGAUUAGAUACCCUGGUAGUCCACGCCGUAAACGAUGUCGAUUUGGAGGUUGUGCCCUUGAGGCGUGGCUUCCGGAGCUAACGCGUUAAAUCGACCGCCUGGGGAGUACGGCCGCAAGGUUAAAACUCAAAUGAAUUGACGGGGGCCCGCACAAGCGGUGGAGCAUGUGGUUUAAUUCGAUGCAACGCGAAGAACCUUACCUGGUCUUGACAUCCACAGAACUUUCCAGAGAUGGAUUGGUGCCUUCGGGAACUGUGAGACAGGUGCUGCAUGGCUGUCGUCAGCUCGUGUUGUGAAAUGUUGGGUUAAGUCCCGCAACGAGCGCAACCCUUAUCCUUUGUUGCCAGCGGUUAGGCCGGGAACUCAAAGGAGACUGCCAGUGAUAAACUGGAGGAAGGUGGGGAUGACGUCAAGUCAUCAUGGCCCUUACGACCAGGGCUACACACGUGCUACAAUGGCAUAUACAAAGAGAAGCGACCUCGCGAGAGCAAGCGGACCUCAUAAAGUAUGUCGUAGUCCGGAUUGGAGUCUGCAACUCGACUCCAUGAAGUCGGAAUCGCUAGUAAUCGUAGAUCAGAAUGCUACGGUGAAUACGUUCCCGGGCCUUGUACACACCGCCCGUCACACCAUGGGAGUGGGUUGCAAAAGAAGUAGGUAGCUUAACCUUCGGGAGGGC
rnacentral:rRNA from 1 species